GAUGAACGCUGGCGGCGUGCCUAAUACAUGCAAGUCGAGCGAACAGACGAGGAGCUUGCUCCUCUGACGUUAGCGGCGGACGGGUGAGUAACACGUGGAUAACCUACCUAUAAGACUGGGAUCACUUCGGGAAACCGGAGCUAAUACCGGAUAAUCUAUUGAACCGCAUGGUUCGAUAGUGAAAGACGGUUUUGUUGGCGCUUGUAGCUGCAUUCGCGCCGUAUCAGCUUGUUGGUGGGGUAGCGGCUUACCAAGGCUUCGACGGGUAGCCGGCCUGAGAGGGUGAACGGCCACAUUGGGACUGAGAUACGGCCCAGACUCCUACGGGAGGCAGCAGUGGGGAAUAUUGCACAAUGGGCGGAAGCCUGAUGCAGCAACGCCGCGUGCGGGAUGACGGCCUUCGGGUUGUAAACCGCUUUCGCCUGUGACGAAGCGUGAGUGACGGUAAUGGGUAAAGAAGCACCGGCUAACUACGUG
rnacentral:rRNA from 1 species